GCAGCAACACCAGCAACGCGCGUACACGCACGCCACUAUCACGCCCACACAGUCACGUAACCCUUUUCCUCUCUCUCUCUCUUUACAUGCGAAAGAAGAUGAACGCAGUCGACCAGGCAUUCAUGGCGAGUCUGGACGCAAAGUCCAACGUGCACCAGCUGGCCAGCGGCAUGCGCUUCAAGAUCGUGAAGAAGGUGACUGACACGGCUUCCACAAAGUCGCCGAACGUGUCGGACCCGUGCUCGGUGCACUACCACGGCUCCCUGACGAAUGGCAAGGUGUUCGACAGCUCUAUGGAUCGCGGCCACCCCGCCACAUUUUCGCCGAGCCAGGUGAUCAAGGGAUGGACGGAGGCCCUCCAGUACAUGGUGGAGGGAGAGGAAUGGGAGGUUUACUUGCCUCCGGAUCUGGCGUACGGCACGCGCGGUGCCGGCGGUGUCAUUCCGCCGAACGCGGCUCUCGUGUUCAAGAUCCGCCUGCUGAAGGUGAUGCAGGGCGGCAAGCCGGGUGAGGACGGCCACAGGAAACUGGAGCAGGCCCUCUCCAAGGCCUACGCGGAGCUUUGAGCGGCUUCCCCGCUGUCAGGCCGGAGGUGCGGCAGGGGCGCGGUGGCGGUGGCGGUCGGCUAGGAUGGCGGGGAGCUGUGUACUGCGCGGACAGAUGGAGAAGUCAGAGCGGCAGAGAUGAUGAGUUUCGCAGUGGAUGCGGGGUGGCAUAUAGGUGCGUCACACAUCGAUCCCUCCCCUUCUCCCUCGCACUACCCGCGUUGUGGGGCACCUCUCUGUUGGGCAACGCUCCCUGCUCCUUCCUCCAUGAUGUAGAUGGUGGUCAGUGGGUGUGGGCCCUUCCUCCCACGUCUAGGUUUUCCGUUUUUUUUGUGUGUGUGUGUUCUUCUUGUAACGCCUUCUGGUGUCUCCUCU
rnacentral:misc_RNA from 1 species